AAUCUUCCGCAAUGGACGCAAGUCUGACGGAGCAACGCCGCGUGAGUGAUGAAUGUUUUCGGAUCGUAAAGCUCUGUUGCCAGGGAUGAAUAGUCUUGGGUGUAACUGCCCAAGCUGUUACUUUACCUUUGCAGAAAGCCCCGGCUACCUACGUCCCAGCAGCCGCGGUAAUACGUCGGGGGCAAGCGUUGUCCGGAAUUUUUGGGCGUAAAGGGCACGCAGGCGGUGGUUUAAGUUUGGUGUUUAAUCCAAGGGCUCAACCCUGGCACGCACUGGAGACUGGAUCAGUUGAGUGCAGAAGAGGAGAGUGGAAUUCCACGUGUAGCGGUGAAAUGCGUAGAGAUGUGGAGGAACACCAGUGGCGAAGGCGACUCUCUGGUCUGUAACUGACGCUGAGGUGCGAAAGCGUGGGUAGCAAACA
rnacentral:rRNA from 1 species